AGUGAACGCUGGCGGUAGGCCUAACACAUGCAAGUCGAACGGCAGCACAGUAAGAGCUUGCUCUUACGGGUGGCGAGUGGCGGACGGGUGAGGAAUACAUCGGAAUCUACUUUUUCGUGGGGGAUAACGUAGGGAAACUUACGCUAAUACCGCAUACGACCUACGGGUGAAAGCAGGGGAUCUUCGUACCUUGCGCGAUUGAAUGAGCCGAUGUCGGAUUAGCUAGUUGGCGGGGUAAAGGCCCACCAAGGCGACGAUCCGUAGCUGGUCUGAGAGGAUGAUCAGACACACUGGAACUGAGACACGGUCCAGACUCCUACGGGAGGCAGCAGUGGGGAAUAUUGGACAAUGGGCGCAAGCCUGAUCCAGACAUACCGCGUGGGUGAAGAAGGCCUUCGGGUUGUAAAGCCCUUUUGUUGGGAAAGAAAAGCAGCAGGUUAAUAACCCGAUGUUCUGACGGUACCCAAAGAAUAAGCACCGGCUAACUUCGUG
rnacentral:rRNA from 1 species